CUACGGGUCGCUGCAGUGAGGAAUAUUGCAUAAUGGGGGGAACCCUGAUGCAGCAACGCCGCGUGGAGGAUGACGCAUUUCGGUGUGUAAACUCCUUUUAUAUGUCAAGAAAAUGACGGUAGCAUAUGAAUAAGCACCGGCUAACUCCGUGCCAGCAGCCGCGGUAAUACGGAGGGUGCAAGCGUUACUCGGAAUCACUGGGCGUAAAGGACGCGUAGGCGGGUUGGAAAGUCAGGUGUGAAAUCCUACAGCUUAACUGUAGAACUGCACUUGAAACUUCUAAUCUAGAGUAUGGGAGGGGGAGAUGGAAUUAGUGGUGUAGGGGUAAAAUCCGUAGAUAUCACUAGGAAUACCUAAAGCGAAGGCGAUCUCCUGGAACAUUACUGACGCUAAGGCGUGAAAGCGUGGGGAGCAAACAGGAUUAGAUACCCGAGUAGUC
rnacentral:rRNA from 1 species